rnacentral:rRNA from 1 species
GUGCAGCAGGCGAGAAAACUUUGCAAUGUGCGAAAGCACGACAAGGUUAAUCCGAGUGGUUUCUGCUAAAGGAACCUUUUGUUAGUCAUAGAACCACUAAUGAAUAAGGGGUGGGCAAGUUCUGGUGUCAGCCGCCGCGGUAAAACCAGCACCUCAAGUGGUCAGGAUGAUUAUUGGGCCUAAAGCAUCCGUAGCCUGCUUUGCCAGUUUUCGGUUAAAUCCAUACGCUCAACGUAUGGGCUGCCGGGAAUACUACAAAGCUAGGGAGUGGGAGAGGUAGACGGUACUCGGUAGGAAGGGGUAAGAUCCUUUGAUCUAUUGAUGACCACCUGUGGCGAAGGCGGUCUACCAGAACACGUCCGACGGUGAGGGAUGAAAGCUGGGGGAGCAAACCGGAUUAGAUACCCCUGUAGUCC